rnacentral:rRNA from 1 species
AUUGAACGCUGGCGGCAGGCCUAACACAUGCAAGUCGAGCGGAUGACGGGAGCUUGCUCCUUGAUUCAGCGGCGGACGGGUGAGUAAUGCCUAGGAAUCUGCCUGGUAGUGGGGGACAACGUUUCGAAAGGAACGCUAAUACCGCAUACGUCCUACGGGAGAAAGCAGGGGACCUUCGGGCCUUGCGCUAUCAGAUGAGCCUAGGUCGGAUUAGCUAGUUGGUAGGGUAAUGGCUCACCAAGGCGACGAUCCGUAACUGGUCUGAGAGGAUGAUCAGUCACACUGGAACUGAGACACGGUCCAGACUCCUACGGGAGGCAGCAGUGGGGAAUAUUGGACAAUGGGCGAAAGCCUGAUCCAGCCAUGCCGCGUGUGUGAAGAAGGCCUUCGGAUUGUAAAGCACUUUAAGUUGGGAGGAAGGGCAGUAAGUUAAUACCUUGCUGUUUUGACGUUACCGACAGAAUAAGCACCGGCUAACUCUGUGCCAGCCGCCGCGGUAA